AACGCACAUUGCACCCUCUGGUAUUCCGGGGGGUAUGCCUGUUCGAGCGUCAUUUCAACCCUCAAGCCUGGCUUGGUAUUGGGUGUCACCUAGUUAGGUGUGCCUCAAAAUCAGUGGCUAUGCCAUCUGGCUUCAAGCGUAGUAAAUUUCUCGCUCUGGAGGUUUAGAUGCGUGUUUGCCAUCAAACACUAUUUUUCAAUGGUUGACCUCGGAUCAGGUAGGGAUACCCGCUGAACUUAA
rnacentral:misc_RNA from 1 species